GACGAACGCUGGCGGCGUGCUUAACACAUGCAAGUCGAGCGGAAAGGCCCUUCGGGGUACUCGAGCGGCGAACGGGUGAGUAACACGUGAGUAACCUGCCCCAGACUUUGGGAUAACCCUCGGAAACGGGGGCUAAUACCGGAUACGACACAGCUUCGCAUGGGGUCUGUGUGGAAAGUUUUCGGUUUGGGAUGGGCUCGCGGCCUAUCAGCUUGUUGGUGGGGUGAUGGCCUACCAAGGCGACGACGGGUAGCCGGCCUGAGAGGGCGACCGGCCACACUGGGACUGAGACACGGCCCAGACUCCUACGGGAGGCAGCAGUGGGGAAUAUUGCACAAUGGGCGGAAGCCUGAUGCAGCGACGCCGCGUGAGGGAUGACGGCCUUCGGGUUGUAAACCUCUUUCAGCAGGGACGAAGCGUAAGUGACGGUACCUGCAGAAGAAGCGCCGGCCAACUACGUG
rnacentral:rRNA from 1 species